CACGUAGUUAGCCGGUGCUUCUUCUGCAGGUACCGUCAUCCAGCAGGGUUAUUCGCCCCGCCGAUUUCUUCCCUGCCGAAAGGGCUUUACAACCCGAAGGCCUUCUUCACCCACGCGGCAUUGCUGGAUCAGGGUUGCCCCCAUUGUCCAAGAUUCCCCACUGCUGCCUCCCGUAGGAGUCUGGGCCGUGUCUCAGUCCCAGUGUGGCGGAUCGUCCUCUCAGACCCGCUACCGAUCGUCGCCUUGGUAGGCCUUUACCCCACCAACUAGCUAAUCGGACAUCGGCCGCUCGGCUAGCGCAAGGCCCAAAGGUCCCCUGCUUUCCUCCGAAGAGCGUAUGCGGUAUUAGCCCGUCUUUCGACGGGUUAUCCCCCACUAGCCGGUACGUUCCGAUGUGUUACUCACCCGUUCGCCACUCGCCGCCAGGAAAGCAAGCUUUCCCGCGAUGCCGUUCGACUUGCAUGUGUAAGGCAUGCCGCCAGCGUUCAAUCUGAGCCAGGAUCAAACUCU
rnacentral:rRNA from 1 species